rnacentral:lncRNA from 1 species
GAUAUUUUUUUUAUGUAGGCUAAUGGAUCAAACAGUGACAAAUCGAUUUUUACGCCAUUUCAAUGAUUCAAUCUUAGUUCAAAACCUGGGACACCAACAAAACUUCCACCCAUUUUAGAGUUCAAACUGAAAAGAAACCUUAAACCAACAAGCUGCCAUUUUCCUCGUGAAUUAACUUCAAACGUUCAACACGAAUCCAACACCGUAGCCAUAUAAAAUUGCAAACCAGCACACACUUUCAAGCUCAUUUUGACUAGAAGAAGCAGAAGAAAAGAUUUAAGCGAGAACAAACCAAUUGACAUGAUCCUCACCAAAGAUAAACAUGAUUCACAACAGAAACAAAAGAAAGGAAAAGAAGUGAACCUGUUAAGCUGAAAUUCUUCUAAAUAAUAGUGGGAAAAAUCAGCAAAUAUACACUCCUCGAAACGAAAGAAAAUCUGACGAGAAACAGCAAGCAAAAUCGAACGACGGGACCAGAACUCGAACGACGAACACGACUCCGACCUCAAGCAAACUCGAAUGGCAAAUGAUUUCAGCUCAAUCAAUCUCCAUAUUUGAACAGCAAAAUAAAAAAUGUGGAAUCCAAAAUGGGAGGAAGAAAGCCGAAAAUAAAAGAACAACUACACUAAGUAUUUUUUUUUAUUUUCUGAUUUUUGAAAUAGAAAAGCAGAACUCUAACCAAA